rnacentral:rRNA from 1 species
GACGAACGCUGGCGGCGUGCUUAACACAUGCAAGUCGAACGGAAAGGCCUUUUCGGAGGUACUCGAGUGGCGAACGGGUGAGUAACACGUGGGUGAUCUGCCCUUCACUCUGGGAUAAGCCUGGGAAACUGGGUCUAAUACCGGAUAGGACCGCACUUUUGUGUGUGUGGUGGAAAGAUUUUUCGGUGUUGGAUGAGCCCGCGGCCUAUCAGCUUGUUGGUGGGGUAAUGGCCUACCAAGGCGGCGACGGGUAGCCGGACUGAGGGGUUGAUCGGCGACAUUGGGACUGAGAGACGGCACAGGCUCCUACGGGAGGCAGCAGUGGGGAAUAUUGCACGAGGGGCGCCAGCCGGAUGCAGCGACGCCGCGUGGGGGAUGACGGCCUUCGGGUUGUAAACCCCUUUCGCCAGGGACGAAGCGUUUUGUGACGGUACCUGGAGAAGAAGCACCGGCUAACUACGUG